UUGCCCCUGCGAUGUGCGUGAUUAGUAUUUGUCUUUGAGCCAACAUUUUUGAACUUGGGACCUUUUCUUGAUUGCGGUGUGCCUUGCUGCUUUUCCCCAGUUUGUGUCUAUGAGCAGAAAGCCUGAAACAACCAAUACCGGGUACCCACCUUGUAAAAAAAGGUUCAAAAUGGCGAUUAACACGGCAUAUGCGGGGGUUUU
rnacentral:other from 1 species